UACAGAGGUCUCAAGCGUUGUUCGGAUUCAUUGGGCGUAAAGGGUGCGUAGGCGGCGCGGUAAGUCGGGUGUGAAAUCUUGGAGCUUAACUCCGAAACUGCAUUCGAUACUGCCGUGCUUGAGGACUGGAGAGGAGACUGGAAUUUACGGUGUAGCGGUGAAAUGCGUAGAUAUCGUAAGGAAGACCAGUGGCGAAGGCGGAUCUCUGGACAGUUCCUGACGCUGAGGCGCGAAGGCCAGGGGAGCAAACGGG
rnacentral:rRNA from 1 species